CUGAACAGCGCCUAUAAACAUUACCAGGUGCAUCUUGUAGGCAUUGUUUCCAGAAUGGCCAUCUCGCAAUGCUUCUGAUGCGUCUCCAACCACUUUGGCUUAAUUGGUUUCAUGUGCCAUUCACUCUAAUUUUGUGGAAGGCUGGUUUUUCUCUGGCAAUGGGUGACAUUUUCCUGGCCCGGCAAUCACAUGCCUGGGAGGUUUCUACUUGAGUGAAGGCGAAUUCUGGCCAAAGGAGCCUGGCUGACAUGCUGGAGGCUCAAAUCCUCCAGACACACAGAGUUACAGACAGAGAACAACUGGCGCCAUGCUGUGCAUUCCCACCCAUCUUCAGCACGUUAGGGAAGUGAGAUGGUGUGCCAUGUGGAUUCUCAAGCAGUCCAGUGAAGAGGACUCUGGGGACCGAAACCAAAACUUCCUGCCAAGGCACACAGCUUUGAAGGAGCUCUCGGGGGAUUGACCAUUCCAACCCUAUGGGUUUUUUUUUAACCAAUACCCCAGAACACAGUUAUGAAAUCUAUGUUGCAGAUGGGUCAACAAAUAUAUCUUCAUACAUAAAUUUUUUUCUGCUUUAAAUUAAACCUUUAUUUAGGUUUUACAAA